ACAACAACCACCCGAGCCACUGCCUGUUCACCCCGCUAUCAUCCAGAAGGCGAGCCUGCUGUGCCAACACAGAAGUCGACAGGGGUGCAGCGGAUUGGCGACCGGCGGAAGGGAGGCUGACAGAAAGAGUGAAGAAAAGAAAAGAGAGCAGAAGGAAAGGAAAAGAGAGGGAGGCCAGGCUGAGACUGGAAUAAAGCCUGUCCUACCUUGGGCCAUUUGGGGUUAAGCAGACGGGCUUUGAGGGCGUCGUCCAGGGCGGUCUGGUACUGUCCCAGGUGGAGAAGGGCCGCAGAGCGGUUACUGUACAGGAUGCAGUUCUGAGGGUCAGCAGACAGGGCCUCGCCGUAGAGCUGCACUGCCAGGCUGUACUGCCCCCGUUGGCAUGCCUGGUUACUGCGACGUACUGCCUCCAGAAACUCUGCCUUAGAAAGGAUAGGAGGCCCGGGAGGGAUGCAAGGAUGAGGGUCUGUCUGGCAGAGAGGGGGAGGGAUGGGGCGAGCAGAGGUAGAGGACGAAGAGGAGGAAGAGGGAGGGUUGGUGGCUCGGGUAGAAGAGCGAGGGCCGAAGAGAGAGAACUGAGAUGGAGAGAGGGAGGAGGAAGAAGAGAAAUGUGGGGAAGAGUGGCCUGUGGCUGUACUGUGAAAAAACAAGACGGAGAGACGUACUCCAGCAAGACAGACUGAACCCCAGACAACUCCUUCUGUUGAACCAGACCCUCAGACAGCCUGGAGAGGACAGGAGAGGAGAACAUAU
rnacentral:lncRNA from 1 species